rnacentral:SRP_RNA from 1 species
CGACUGUAACGGUCAUAAGGUUAAGGCGAGCUCACGUUCCCAGAUCCUUCACUCCAAAAGUAUCAAACUAACGAUUUAUCGAGAGUUUGAAGCUACCAACAGUGCCCAGUCCGAACAUUACGGUGAUAGCCCACUCGUGUAGGAAACUCACGAUGCUGCGGUUGUCUUAAGCAAUGAAGAUAAUUUCUUGAGGGAGGCCUCACUCUGCAGAGAGAUCUUCGCCGUGAUGUGGCGGUAUUGGAUUACAUUCGUUGUGUGGUUUGGAGAGAGGAUUUGGGUUGGGUUUCAACUUUU